UACGGGGGGUGCGAGCGUUGUCCGGAAUCACUGGGCUUAAAGGGUGCGUAGGCGGGCCAGUAAGUGUCUCGUGAAAUCCCAUGGCUCAACCAUGGAACUGCGGGGCAUACUGCUGGUCUUGAGGAAGCUAGAGGCCGGCGGAACGAUAGGUGGAGCGGUGGAAUGCGUAGAUAUCUAUCGGAACGCCAAAGGUGAAGACAGCCGGCUGGGGCUUUCCUGACGCUCAGGCACGAAAGCGUGGGGAUCAAACAGG
rnacentral:rRNA from 1 species